rnacentral:lncRNA from 7 species
GAAAGGAGAAGGGUUGGAGUUAUCUCUCAUCGUUCAUCGUCGUUCAACGCCGCCUACUGGGGUAUGAUCUGUUUUCCUGUUUUACAGUUUGGAUAGCAGUAUAUAUUGUCAUUUUUGCACAAGAUAAAAGUCGAAUUUGCUAAUAUCAUGAAUAUAAAAAGUUGUAGUUAUCAUUGGUAUCCUUCAAAUGCUGCUGAUGUUGUUUUAACUCGCAUAACAGUUAGGGAGUAAUUGCAAAAUUUUGUUUUUGUCCUGAAAACUGAAAAACAUAUUUUGUUAGGAAGUUAACCCCGAUUUAUGUGAAUAAUCUAUGCAAAAUUCGAUCGAGUGGUCAACAUAAAAGUUGUAGGAAAAUGUCCAUAAUUUUCAAAAUAUAUUUGUUUGCCUCAAUUGGGGCCAGGAGUUGGAAGUUGGGAACAAAAUACAUGGGGUCUAGAAAUCUUUCCGAAAUUUCAGAAUGAUGUAGUUCACUAGAAUUCUAGUUUGCAGGUCUUCAGUGAAGUUUUCGAUUGCAAAUCGUUAUGUAGUAUUGUGCUAAGUUGUGCUUUAUAAAAAAUAGAUCUUCGUUCUCUAGAUCGGACAUGUCUUCCUCAGUGAAGGCAAGUAAAUGUAGCAGUGGUUUGUUAUCAUUUUGACUUGUUAUUUUUUAUCACGUACACUCUAAUAUUCAGAAGUAUUUAAUGUGAUAAUAAUUGAACUCUAUGAUGAUGAUUUAUUUGAUCGUAUUAUAUCACUUUUAAUGAAGUGAAGUACUAUUUGAAGUUUGUAUUAUAUGAAGUAAAGUAUUGUUUCGGCAUGUCAUGCAUAUUCCAUCAUUCUUUUGCAUUUGAAGUUAUGUUGUGACAUUAUGGUCUGGUCGUACUGGUACAUACUUAGCAUCAUACAUUGCCCCAGGAGGGGUGUGAUGCAGCUCCAUACCCUUCAUGGUAUGCAGGUAGAAGUCAUAUGCAUUGCAUUGUCUUCAUAUGCAUUACUUGCAGGUGUCGAUGACGUGAAGUGUUUAUACUGAUGCAGUUGUUCAAGAGGAGAUGGUAUUUUAUACAUUAUAGUAUUGGAUUAUUUAUCUGAAAGUAUUAUUAUUACUAACUGAAGUUACUUUAGAUCAUUGAUAUAUAAUUCAACUUGUGAUUUAAAUAUGUUGUCAAAAUAAAUUUUCAUGCUGAGAUGUUUCAUCUCACUUUGCAUUACUCAAUGCAGGAUUUUUACGCUUACCAAGGGGAAUGGGAAAUAGCAGCACGUUGCACACAUGUUUUAAAGACUCAUUAAAAACUAAAUAUUUACUUCUGUUUGUUAAGAUUGAGGUUGACAUUUCUGAAGUGGUUGCUCAUUC